AAGGAAGCAAGCGACUCCAGUCACAACAGGCGGGGUAACCAUGUCAACCGCGUUUUAUUAGAUAUCAGAGUGAUAAACCAUAGCAUUAUGAGGUAACUAUGGAUAAACGGGCUAAGAAACCUCGCUUGUCAGCUGCAGUAAGGGCCAUUGUUUUUUUGGGUAGUACCUCAUUCGGAAGACAUUAAUAACAAACAAUAUUAUUGGAAUCAGGUUCCGAAAGGGGUUUUUAAAUCUAUACGGUACCGUACCGGUACUCAUGGAACUCUACAGUGGCCUGAUGACUGGGUGCUGGUGGCAAAUUCAUACAUGAACAGAAAAAGAGAUCAACUUAAAAAGUGCAGAAAAUUGAUUAUUAAAAGUAUCAAGUCAAUCAAUUCGAGAGGCUGUGGAUCAGAUCAAGCAAUCCUGGCAAUGACAAAGAGGAAAGCUGACAGCACAUCAACUCUAGGUGCUGGCAGGUGACAGAGUUCACUUUAUCUUGGAGCGUAUUCAAAUCUUUUGAGCUGUAAAGCAAACAGGCAUCGUCAGCGAAAAGUUUGGUUAAGAAGUUGGAGCAGGACGACAGAUCAUUUAUUGCGACGAGGAAAGCAAGCGGUCCCAAUACAGAACCUUGAGGAAUUCCACAGUGAAUAGGGAGCAUGGGAGACCUAUUGGAAUCCACCUCGACAAAUUGUUGUCGACCGGACAGGUAAUCACAAAAUAAGUUGCCUGUAGCACCUCGAAAACCAUAAUGUCUCAGUUUGUGUGAGAGAAUAGUAUGAUUGACAGUGUCGAAGGCUUUUUUAAG